UGUCUAUAGAAGAGGUGAGCGCCCUUGAACGUGUUUCCUAUAUGUACACUGGGCUGACCCAGGUCUAGGCAGCAAAAAUCUGAUAUCCAAAGCUAUGUGACCUGCAGGGGCUGUUGAUGGAAGGGGGAAGGGUUCUCUCUUGUCCCACCUGAAUGUGACCUCUUCCAGUCACUUAACACACAAGGACUACUUAUGUGGAUUUGGGGAUGGCAAAAGUUGCUAAAAUAAUAGAUAUAAUAUGCAGAGACCACCUGAGAGUAUCUUUAUUCUGUGUGGAAAAAAAUCAAGUUCAGCCAAGCCUGAGGCACCAGAUUCAGGAAGCCAUCCUGAAACCCCUGCUUUGUCUCCUGACAAACAGAUGGGGUGAGGUCACAAGGAAGUGACCCCUGAGCUGCGAGUGGACCCUGAGCUUAGGGCACAGAGGCAGAGGAAGAGCAGGAAGCAGGUGCCCCCAGGGUGGGAAGAGUGGAAGAAGGACUGGCGCUCUUCUGCUGAGUGGGCCAGGAAGUGACCCGGUGGUGGGAAGUGGCUGAAGGUGGUGUGUUCCGGGGUCAGACUGAGUGCAGGGUCGGAAGUGAGCCUAGUAAACAAAACUGAGCUGAUGGAUCGCUCAGGACAAUGUGUGCAGUGGAAGUUUCUAGAAACCCGAAGCUGGCAUGGAGAAACAAUAGACAGGCAGAGACCAGGGACCUAAGUGUGUGUCAUUCAGAAGACUCUCUGGCAAGUGACUUUUGAAGGCUGCGAGGAUCCCAUCAACCUGAUUGUGUCAUAUGGCUUGGCCUCUCCAUCCCAGGAAGGGAAGCCCAGGAUGGAAGACACGCAUGGGCCAUUGGAGGGUAGGGCCUCUAGAAGUUCCUGUGGGUGGUCCGGGACAGCUUCUAGUGAGCUUGGCAAAGUCCGCUCAGGAAGAAGAGUCUGAUUGGUGGGACGAGGGGGUUUUUCUCAAAUGACGUCACUUCCUUGUGGGCUGACCGCCCAUAUGGGAAGCGAGUUGCCAGGUGUGUUGAGGAUCGCAGGAAGGAACAGGACGGCGGGAACUGGACCAGGGUCAUCUGUGAGCUCAGCACGCACCUGCUCCUCCUGGAGACUUCGGAUGAUCUUCCUGACCUUGAACAUAACUCUCAGAACCACACAUCCCAAAGCUCCAGUAGAGGUCAUCUAGAAUGGAGGUGACCAGGCAGUAUCUAGCCUCCCUGGACCCUUUUGUCCAACCUGCCACGGUAUCAGCGUUCCCAGCAGCCUCGUGUCCUGCACAUAAGCUGUUAAGUGGCCAUCUGUGCACUGAUAGAAAAGACUGAACAAGACGUACGUGGUCAAGUUCAGGGAAAGCCCGGGCGUCUCCAGGGACCCGCCAGGUGUGUAUGGACUUAGCAUUAGCUCUUCUUUCGAUACAGUCAUUUAGCCAGACAGGGACCUGUGCACAGCAGAAUUCCCAGAGUGUCUGCUGGGACUUGAGGACAUCUACCCUCAUGGACUGAACCAGAACCCCAGUCUUCCAUUGUGAGGCAGCCAUGUAUUGGACUAGCCUCUAAGCCUAAUAAAUCUCAUGUA
rnacentral:lncRNA from 1 species